GGAGUUAGCCGGUGCUUCUUCUGUGAGUGAUGUCCUUCCUGCCGGCUAUUAACCCGCAGGCCUUCUUCCUCACUGAAAGUGCUUUACAACCCGAAGGCCUUCUUCACACACGCGGCAUGGCUGGAUCAGGGUUGCCCCCAUUGUCCAAUAUUCCCCACUGCUGCCUACCGUAGGAGUCUGGGCCGUGUCUCAGUCCCAGUGUGGCUGAUCAUCCUCUCAGACCAGCUACGGAUCGUCGCCUUGGUGAGCCGUUACCUCACCAACCAGCUAAUCCGACAUAGGCUCAUCCGAUAGCGCGAGGCCCGAAGGUCCCCCGCUUUCCCCCGUAGGGCGUAUGCGGUAUUAGCCUGGGUUUCCCCAGGUUAUCCCCCACUACCGGGCAGAUUCCUAUGCAUUACUCACCCGUCCGCCGCUCGCCACCAGGGAGCAAGCUCCCCGUGCUGCCGCUCGACUUGCAUGUGUUAGGCCUGCCGCCAGCGUUCAAUCUGAACCAAGAUCAAAUUCUGA
rnacentral:rRNA from 1 species